CCUACGGGAGGCAGCAGUGAGGAAUAUUGGUCAAUGGUCGAGAGACUGAACCAGCCAAGUCGCGUGAGGGAUGAAGGUACAGAGUAUUGUAAACUUCUUUUAUCUGGGAAUAAAGUCUUCCACGCGUGGGCUUUUGUGUGUACCAGAUGAAUAAGCAUCGGCUAACUCCGUGCCAGCAGCCGCGGUAAUACGGAGGAUGCGAGCGUUAUCCGGAUUUAUUGGGGUUAAAGGGUGCGUAGGUGGUCUGUUAAGUCAGGUGUGAAAGUUUGCGGCUCAACCGCAAACUUGCAGUUGAAACUGGCAGUCUGGAGUACGGGAGAGGUGUGCGGAAUGCGUGGUGUAGCGGUGAAAUGCAUAGAUAUCGCGAAGAACUCCGAUUGCGAAGGCAGCUCACUGGAUUCACACUGACACUGAGGCACGAAAGUGUGGGUAUCGAACAGGAUUAGAUACCCGGGUAGUC
rnacentral:rRNA from 1 species